rnacentral:pre_miRNA from 1 species
GCUCCAAUCUAAAUUUGGCAGAGUUUCUACAGCUGGUUGGCAUUAGGAAGGGCAUCCAGCUGUAGAAACUCUGCCAAAUUUAGAUUGGAGUC